rnacentral:rRNA from 1 species
CCUACGGGUGACUGCAGUGGGGAAUUUUGGACAAUGGGCGCAAGCCUGAUCCAGCUAUUCCGCGUGUGGGAAGACGGCCUUCGGGUUGUAAACCACUUUUGUAGAGAACGAAAAGUCUAUUGAUAAUACCGAUAGACGAUGACGGUACUCUAAGAAUAAGCACCGGCUAACUACGUGCCAGCAGCCGCGGUAAUACGUAGGGUGCGAGCGUUAAUCGGAAUUACUGGGCGUAAAGGGUGUGCAGGUGGUUUUGCAAGAUGGAUGUGAAAGCCCCGGGCUUAACCUGGGAAAGCCAUACAUGACUGCAAGACUAGAGUGCGUCAGAGGGGGGUGGAAUUCCAAGUGUAGCAGUGAAAUGCGUAGAUAUUUGGAAGAACACCGAUGGCGAAGGCGACUAUCUGGCACAUAACUGACGCUGAGGAGCGAAAGCGUGGGUAGCAAACAGGAUUAGAUACCCGUGUAGUC